AGGGAGCGGAGGCAGGUGACAUUGGGAAGGUGGCUUUGCUGGCCACUUCACAUUAGGGCAGUUGUGGAUCACAGCAUCAGCAAGUAACGCUUCUUUAAGUGACCUUGACUGCGUUUCGUAUCUGAAGAAGAGCGACAUUUGGGUUUUCUAAUUUAGAAGCACAAAAGAGGUUGGAAGAGAC
rnacentral:lncRNA from 1 species